rnacentral:tRNA from 1 species
GAGAGUAUAGCUCAAGUGGCAGAGCACGUGCUUAGUGUGCAUGAGGCUCCGGGUUCAAUCCCCAGUACCUUCC